rnacentral:lncRNA from 1 species
CUGGAUGAGAUGCGAGGAAUCUUAUUGAGAGUUUUUAAUUUUUGUUUUUAUCUAACAGAUACCUGGCUUUCCACGUCCAGUAUGAAUGGCUAAUGAUACAUUAAAUACAUGACACGGAUACAUUACUGGCUCCAACAUGCCAGUCUGCCAGUGUUGUGAUUUUUUGUUGUUUUUUUACGACGAUUAUGCAAUCACUUCUUACUCAUAACUAUCUAAAAAUUGUCUACCUAACUGACUGAGGUGCAGGGAAUCUCCUGCAGUUUUAACGACCAACUUCGCCGUUAUUCCAGGGGUUCAAUGUUCCGCUCCGUAGCCCCUUCUUCAAUCGCUGUAA